UCCUAUUUGCUACGAGCAAAC
rnacentral:snRNA from 1 species